ACACUUCUUAUGUCAAAUUACAUUUACUCGUAAAAAUCUACUGUCAAUAAUUGUCGUCUCCUGUCUACUGUAUGUGCAUAAUUAAAAUAACAAAAUAAUUUUUGUUUACAUGAUGAAUUAAUUUGUUGCCUAUAAAGUGGCAUUGAUUCCAAUACAAAUAAAAUUAAGUACUGGAGUAAAAGAGUUGAAUUAAUGAUGGCGUUGUUUCCUGCCUAUGCUCAAGAUGUUACAGACAUUGAAAUAGUUGAAGAAGGCAAGACUUCGGAGCCGUCCGAGGUCUCCCCGGGUCGGGAGAUGAUUCUGUUGGCGAGCGACAGCGGCACCGACGACGAGCGACCCGUUCGGCCCGCGCUCUCCCGCCAGAACUCGCACCAGGAAUACUUCUACUGGGACACUAAACUGGACUGUGGCAACUUGCGUGUCUCCACUUUGUAUUACCCCGGCAGACCACAGUAUACUUUGUCAGCGAAUCCAUGGGGCUGCGGCGGCGGGGCGAGUCGUGUGGGGCGGAGUAUGGCUCGGCGUUACUACCACACGCCGGUCGCGGACGCACCCGCGCACCGCGAGCUGCACGAGCGCGCCGCCGCCUACCGCCGCAUGCUGGCCGACCACCCCGCCGACCAGGACUUGUGGCUGCAGUAUAUAGACUUUCAGGAGCAGUGGUGUGACGGCGAGGCGGCGCUGCGUGCGGCGGAGGAGGCGGCGGCGGCCGCGGGGCGCGGCGCGUGCGGCGGCGCGCUCGCCUGCACGCUGCAGCGCCUGCGCGCCGCGCACCUGCCGCGCGACACGCACCUGGCGCUGCUGCGCGACGAGCUCGCCGCGGGUGAGCACGCGCCGAGCUCGCCGCGGGUGAGCACGCGACACAGCCCGUAGCGGUGCGCGGUGCGAGAUCACGUGGUGUUGUCCGCAGCGCAGGGCGCGGCGCAGGCGUGCGCGGCGUGGGCGCGGCUGGCGGCGGCGCUGGGCGCGGCGGGGACGCGGGCGCCGGCGCUGGCGGCGGCUGCGCUGCCGCGGCUCGCGCAUGCGCCGCAUGCCUACCCGCACUUGCUGUACAUUCACGGAGCUACGUUGCGGGCGGCCGGGCUGUGGGAACAACUCGUCCUGCUCAUAGAGCUGGUGGCCGCCAUGAACUACCCGCCGGCCGCCUUCCCGCCGCCGCCCGACCUCGCGCGCCUGCGCGCCGCCGACGACGCGCUGCUCGCCGCCGAGGACAAGGCCGCGCGCAGCGGGCUGCCGCUGUCGGCCGUGUGGGUGCGCGUGGAGCGCGCGCGCGCCGCCGCGCACUGGCGCCCCGCCGCCGACCCGCGGCGCGACCCUGACCCGCAGCGCUGUCCACUGCCCGCCGACGUGGCCGACUUGCUGCUGCCGGUCGCCGACGACGACGCCGCCUUCCUCUUAUGCGUGAAUCUGCUGCGCCUCGCCAAGGUACCGCUGCUACCGCAGACGGAGUACGUGGCGCGCGCGUGCGGUGCGGCGGGGCUGACGGAAGAAGAGGUGGGGGGCGCGUGGUGGUGCGCGGAGGCGGAGGCGCUGCUGCCGCUGCUGCGCGCAAGCCGGCGGCUGGCGCCUGCGCAUCCGGCCGCAGCAGGGUCGCCGGCUGUGGCGCGCUCCUUACUCGCACAUUUUCUGGACCCACCUCAUUACUUCACUGAUGAAAAUGGGUACCUGGGAUGGGUGACAUCGCUGUGGGAGGCGUCUUGUGCGUGGAUGCGUGGUGCGCGGCGCGUGGCGUUGCUGUGCUGGCGCCUGCGCUGGCUGCACGCGCUGGCGCUGCUGCUGGAGCGCGGCUCGGGCGCAGGCGCGGCGGGUGAGGCGGAGGCGCGGCGGCUGCGCGCGGAGGCCCGCGGCGCGUUGAAGCGUUUCGCAGCCGACUCGCCGCUGCCGUACGCGCAGUUCGCGCGGCUCGAGGCGGUGCUGCAGCCGGCGCGCGCCGUGCCCGCCGCCCUGCACGCGCUGCGCGCCGCGCUCGCCGACGCGCACUGCCCCGCCACGCACCGGCUGUAUGUCGCCAGGGUGUUACGCGAGGUGUGCUCGGAGGUGGGCGGCUCGGCGGUGGGCGCGUGGGCGGUGCCGUGCGCGGUGCUGGGCCGCGCGCUGCCCGACGAGGGGGUUCUGGCGGCGGGGGCGCGACCCGACGAGCCGCUGCUGCACGCUGCACUGAUGCACUGCGAGGAGCGUUGCGCAGAUCUGGAGGCGCGGUUUAAUGCGGACGACAAUACGGAGAGAGCGGAGCGCGGCGGCAGUGUGUGGAGCGCGUGCGGCGCGCUGGGUGUGGGUGCGGGCGAGUGGGGCGGCGCGCGCGCGGCGCUGGCGAGCCCGGCGCGCCGCGCACACCUCGCGCGCCUGCUGCCGCCCGCCGCGCGCGCCGCCCGCGCCGCUCCGAACCACGCCGAGGCCCUCCGGUACUACGAGCAGAGCGCGUGCGCACUGAUGACAUCGCGCGACUGUCGGCUCGCGAGUGACGUCAGCGAGUUCGCCGACUUGUUUCCACACAACGCAUUACUGGCUUUAGGCGCAGCGGGAGCGCCGCUGUGGAGGCGCGGCGCGGCGGGCGUCGCGGCGCGCGCAUGUGCGGGCGAGGCGCGCUCGCACGCGGCGGCGCUGGCGCAGGCGCUGCCUGCUCUACUGCGUGCGACCGCUGCCGACUGGGCGCCGCGCGGUCAGUGCUACAUUCUAACUGUUCAUCUCUCCGCUUGGUUGUUUUACAAGGCGAAAGCUAUUGCCGCCGCGCUCGAGUGCGCCGCGCGGGGCUCGAGCGCCGCCCGCGCACACCGCGCGCUGCUCGCCGCGCUCGACGCGCACCCCGACCACAAGUGGCUGUACGUGCGCGGCGCGGCGUGGGUGCCGGCCGAGGCGGCCGCGCUCGCCGACGUGCUGCUCGAGCGACAGCUGCGGCUGCACGCGCUGCGCGACGAGCUGCGGGACGAGCCGCGCGACGAGCUGCGCGACGAGAUGCUCCACCCGCAACAUACUAAUCAAUAACAACAUUAUGUAGUCGCAACAAAUACAUAAUAUAAUCAUGUUUUCAUUUUAAAUUUUAUUAAAA
rnacentral:sRNA from 1 species